UAGGGAAUCUUCGGCAAUGGACGAAAGUCUGACCGAGCAACGCCGCGUGAGUGAAGAAGGUUUUCGGAUCGUAAAACUCUGUUGUUAGAGAAGAACAAGGACGUUAGUAACUGAACGUCCCCUGACGGUAUCUAACCAGAAAGCCACGGCUAACUCCGUGCCAGCAGCCGCGGUAAUACGGAGGGUGCAAGCGUUAAUCGGAAUUACUGGGCGUAAAGCGCACGCAGGCGGUUGAUUGAGUCAGAUGUAAAAUCCCCGGGCUUAACCCGGGAAUUGCAUCUGAUACUGGUCAGCUAGAGUCUUGUAGAGGGGGGUAGAAUUCCAUGUGUAGCGGUGAAAUGCGUAGAGAUGUGGAGGAAUACCGGUGGCGAAGGCGGCCCCCUGGACAAAGACUGACGCUCAGGUGCGAAAGCGUGGGGAGCAAACAGG
rnacentral:rRNA from 1 species